rnacentral:miRNA from 1 species
UUGGAUAGAGGUAAUCUCGGCCU